rnacentral:rRNA from 1 species
CGUAAACUAUGGAUACUAGGUGUUUGGGGAAUUAACCCCCCUGAGUACUGAAGCUAACGCAUUAAGUAUCCCGCCUGGGGAGUACGGUCGCAAGGCUAAAACUCAAAGGAAUUGACGGGGGCCCGCACAAGCGGUGGAGUAUGUGGUUUAAUUCGAAGCAACGCGCAGAACCUUACCUACCCUUAACAUUCCAGGACCGCUACAGAGAUGUAGUUUUCUCUUCGGAGACCUGGGGAUAGGUGCUGCAUGGCUGUCGUCAGCUCGUGUCGUAAGAUGUCUGGUUAAGUCCAAUAACGAGCGCAACCCUUAUCUUUAGUUACCAUCAUUAAGUUGGGGACUCUAGAGAGACUGCCGGUGUUAAACCGGAGGAAGGCGGGGAUGACGUCAAGUCCUCAUGGCCCUUACGGGUAGGGCUACACACGUACUACAAUGGCAGAAACAGACCGCAGCAAUAUCGCGAGAUGGAGCUAAUCGGUAAAACACUGUCUCAGUCCGGAUUGGAGUCUGCAAUUCGACUCCAUGAAGUUGGAAUCGCUAGUAAUCGCUGAUCAGCAAGCAGCGGUGAAUACGUUCCCGGGCCUUGUACACACCGCCCGUCACACCACGAAAGUGGUCACCACCAGAAGUGAGUGAGCUAACCUUGGAGGC